UAAUUUAAAUUUUUAUUUAAUAAUCACAAUAGUACUAGAAAAAAAAGGUUUUAAAUAUAUAUUACUAACAUUUUAAAGGAAAUCAUGCUUAAAAAUAUAAUAGACAUAAAUUAUUGACCAUAAAGUUACCAGAAAUAAUUAGAUAACUCACCACCCAUUUCUAAUGAUUAGAAAAACAAUCACGGCCUCCUCUAACAUUUCACCAUGCUUGCUAAUAUUUUGCAUUGUGUUAUAUUGUUCCCUUUUAAUUUAAUAUAAUAUUUUAUAUGGAAUGGAAAAGACCUCGCCAACCACGCAGAAACAACACCCAUUUCGGGAUCAAAGGAAAAGUUUUUCCAUUGUUUAAAAAAAAAGACAAAUCAGCACUAAAAAUAUAUAUCAAUGAAAUGACAAGACAGAUAAAAAUGGGUUAAAUUAACGUAAUGGGAAAUCAGAUUUUGCCCUUAAAAUGCAACAAGCCAAUUGUUAGAAUGAAUAAUUACAUAAGUACAAGGAAAAAAAAAAAAUCCAAUUGCAUGAAAGAUUUUAUAUUGGGUUAAGUCAUGCAUUUUUGUUCAGCCAUUUUAUUUGAAAGAUUUUAUAUUGGAUUAAACCAUGCAUUUUUGUUCGGCCAUUUUAUUUAGUAGGUUGUUUUUGAGUUUCAACUCUUGCUUUAAUUUAAGGAAUUGUAAGCAUGGCCCUUAGGUUCAUAUAUAAGGACUAAGCAAUAUGAAUGAAGACAAAAGUUUUUUUUGAUAACCCUAGUUUCACACACAACAAUCAACAAAUUACCCUCCAAGCCUCCACCUCACCUACCCCAACAGCUACAACUUACCACCAAUUUUGUCACUAUCUAUCUAAUAACUCUAUUGCAUCCCUUCACCUCUUAUCGGUGGAAAACCAGCCCAGCUCAACCACAAACACAACCAUUGCUCACCCCUCCUCUCCGUUUCUCCGUUAGAUAAUCUACCCUCACCCAUUUAAUCCCUCCUUCAGAAAUACCACACUAUCUUUCAAAAACCUCACGGGUUACCCCAACAGAGUUCACAUGACCACCAUAUCCCGUUGUUACCUAACACCCCACCCAUCAAGGUAAAACCCUAUUGCUACUCACACCACCACAAGGAAGUGAUCACUGCUCUCAUUUAUGAAAUGUUGCAAAAGGGUAUUAUCCAACCCAAUACAAGCCCUUUUUUUUCCCGGUGUUGCUAAUAAAAAAAAAAAUGGUCCAUGACAUUUUUGUGUUGACUAUGGAGCCCUAAAUGCAGCCACCAUUCGUGACCAUUUCCCCAUUCCUACCAUUGAUGAAUUGCUAGAUGAAUUGCUAGAUGAGUUAGACUCAACUACUGUUUUUACUAAAAUAGAUUUACACUCUAGUUGUCGUGCUAGAUGAGUUAGACUCAACUACUGUUUUUACUAAAAUAGAUUUACACUCUAGUUGUCACCAAAUACUUCUUGUUCCAGAAGACACUCACAAAACAGCUUUCCGCACUAUUGAUGGUCAUUACGAAUUCCUAGUCAUGCCAUUUGGGUUAACUAACACCCCUUCUACUUUUCAAGUAACAAUGAAUGAUCUUCUCAGACCAUACCUCCGCAAGUUUGUCUUAGUUUUUUUUAUGACAUUUUAAUUUACAGUUCAAGCUUACAGGACCAUAUGAUUCAUCCCAAAACUAUAUUGGAAGUGCUACACACUCAAAUUUUUUUUGCUCAAGGGGUCCAACCAGACCCACAAAAGAUCAGCGCCAUACACAAUUGGCCUCAGCCACGGUCACUCACGACAUUACGGGGUUUCCUCGCCCUCACUGGAUUUUAUAGAAAAUUCAUAAAGCACUACGCCACACUCGCUGCUCCUCUCACCGACUUAUUACAAAAACACAAAUUUAGAUGGACGGAGCUUGCGCAACAAGCAUUUGAAAAAUUGAAAUUACAUAUGACACAAAUGCCUACUCUACACCUCCCUGACUUCAAGCUUCCAUUUGUGGUAGAAACUGAUGCCUUCGCAGUGGCCGUUGGAGCUGUACUCAGUCAAAAUGGCCAUCCUCUUGCCUUCUUCAGCAAAAAGAUGAACCCCAAGCUCCAAGCUUCUUCUGUUUAUGUCCGUGAGAUGUAUGCCAUCACAGAGUCAGUAAAAAAAUGGCGUCAGUAUCUCAUAGGACAACAUUUCACAAUAAUCACAGAUAAGAAAAGCCUCAACACCCUUCUUGCCCAAACCAUACAAACCCCAGAACAACAAAAAUGGACAGCUAAAUUAUAGGGAUAUGAUUUCCAAAAAAUUUACCAACCUGAACGGGAAAAUGCGGCGGCUGAUGCUCUUUCAAGAAUGGUUGAGGAACCCACACUCAACAUGUUGGCAGUUUCGUCCCCAUUACCUCAGCUGAUUCAAGAACUCCAAAAUUUUUUUGACACCGCAGAAGGCCAGGAGGUGAUCUAGGCAUGCACAGGAAACCAACAGCAACCAAGUCUUUUUUCCACAGGCCAUGGGUUACUCUUUUUCUGCCACCAAAUUUUUGUGCCAGCAACAAAGGACUUUUGUUAGCGCAUCAUGAAUGAGUUCCAUGCUUCUCCUUAUGGCGGCCACUCCAGUUUUAAACUGACCCUCAAGCGCAUAUCCGUUUCCUUCUACUGGCCGAAAUGGACAUGAGACGUCCAUAGCUUCGUCCAACUAUUCUCCGUGUGUCAGAAAAACAAAUACAUGCCAACAAAAUUCAAGGUUUACUUCAACCAUUACCAAUUCCAGAACAAGUAUGGGAAGAUAUAUCAAUGGAUUUUAUUACUCACCUUCAAAGUUCAGCUGGCCACUCGAUCAUUUGGGUCAUCUGUGACAGAUUAACAAAAUAUGCCCACUUCCUAGCUCUUCCUACGCACUUCACAGCCCAACAGCUAGCCAAACGAUUUUCAGUGGAAAUAUGCCGACUCCAUGGUCUACCAAAAACCAUCGUCUCCGACUGCGACCCCUUGUUCGUCAGUACCUUCUGGCAACACCUAUUCAAGGCACAAGGAACCACGUUAAAAUUCAGCUCGUCAUACCACCCACAAACUGACGACCAAACGGAAGUGUUGAAUAGAGGGUUAGAAGUGUACCUCAGGUGCUUUGUGGGAAAUCAACCGGACAAAUGGUAUCAAUUUCUUCACUUGGCAGAGUUAUGGCACAACACCACCCACCAUUCGGCUAUAGGAACCUCACCCUUCCAUGCUCUGUAUGGUGGACAACCACCCACUGUUGUCGACUUCGUGCGCACCCUACAAGACGGUGCAACCAUUUCGGGGUCGUUAUCCGAACACAUCGUCGUCCUUCAGGAGCUCCAGGAGCACUUGCAUCUUACAAGGAAGCGAAUGUGUGACCAAGCGAAUCAACACCGCACAGAUCGGAGUUUCGCACCAGGAGAUUAGGUGUGGGUUUUCCUCCAACCCUACAGGCAACGAACCUUGGAACGACGUACACACCAAAAGAUGGGACUGCGCUUCUCAGGCCCAUACAAGGUAUUACGCCGCAUCGAAUCCGCCGCGUACGAGCUACAACUGCCAGCGACCGCCCACGUCCACCCUGUUUUUCAUGUGUCGCUACUGCGAAUUUUGAAAGGGACUUUUGAAGAAGCUCCUUUAGUUUCUACCAAGUCCGCAAACAACUGCCCAACAACACUUAACUCACAUUCAAAAACCAGUCAAAACCUUCUGAACGCACCGCCCUAAGAGUCCAAUAACAACGAGACAAGUGUGGUGGAACCCUAGAACCUCGAGCCCAUCACGCACGUGCCUACCCCACCUUUUACCCCCACACUUUCUAACUAUCUGCACACGCAUCCUGCCACAACCAUUACCGCAUGCCACGUGUAAAGGAACGUGCAACAGCCACAACGUCCCCAAACAUUGAGCCCAACGCCCAUAAUGCAUCCCACGCACCCUAACCCUAAUGCAAUCGUGACACAUACCUUGGCAAACCCUAAUGCACUAGCGAUGCAUACCUUAACAAACCCUAAUGUGCCAAUGACGCAUCCUACCCAACCCAGUGCCCAAGCCCAAAUCCAAUGUGCCCAACCCAACAAGCCUACACAAUGUCAAUUCGCACCCCGUUCUAAAUAUCCCCACACACCACCCAAUGCUCCAGACACGUCUCAACUGGGCCACAUCCAGCCCAACACCUCUCCACUGGCCCAUUAGACUCCAAGAUUGUACUUUGAGGACAAAGUGCUUCCUGAGUCGGAGAGUAAUGUUAGAAUGAUUAAUUACACAAGAACAAGACAAAAAUAACAACCUAAUUGGAUGAAAGAUUUUAUAUUGGGUUAAGUCCAUGCCUUUUUAUUUUGCCAUUUUAUUUAGUAUGUUGUUUUUUAGUUUCAGUUGUUGCUUUAAUUUUAAGAAUUGUAAGGCCCAUGGCCCUUAAGUCUGUAUGAAUGAAGACAAAAGUUUUUUUUGUGAUAACCCUAGUUUUAGUAUAACAGUAACAAAGGUCUAUAAUUGGUGCUUUCAUUGAUAUGGCUCCCAAACUAUCAUCCAAGGACAUGGAAGAGUUCAUCCACACCAUCCAAGCUCAACUCACCCUGAUUCAAAACCAAUUAAAGGACACCUCUAGCAAAGAGUCUACCCUAGAAGCAAAGAAUGACAACCUCCACUCCUAUGUCACAUCACUGCUGGAUCAAGUCACCCUCCUCACACACCCUGAAAAUCCAAAUCCUCUGCAUCACCACCAAACAAGUCCUCUAUCAUCGCAUUCUCACUCCCACUAGCAACAACCCCCUUCUCUACAACCACCAACACUUACCCUACCUUUUUUUGAAGGUACCAAUCCUCUGGACUGGCUUUUUCAGGCAGAUCAUUAUUUUUCAUUCUAUCAAAUUCCCCUAGACCAGCGUUUGCUCAUGGUGGGAUUCCACAUGCAGGGAGAUGCUCUCUCCUGGUUUAAAUGGCUGCACAACAAUAACCUCCUCAUAGAUUGGCAAUCAUUCACAAGGGCCUUGGAGCUCCGUUUUGGCCCAUCAACAUAUAUCAAUCACCAAGUUGAGUUAUUCAAACUCCAACAAACCUCCACAGUCACAGAAUACCAAGGCAGGUUUGAACAUUUAUACAACUGUGUGGUGGGUCUCACUCCCGAGACUAUACUUAAUUGCUUCAUUUCUGGUUUGAGUAUUGACAUUCGCAGAGAGCUCACUAUAUUAAAUCCUUACUCUAUAGCCCAAGACAUAGGACUAGCCAAGCUUAUUGAAGACAAACUCAGAGAUUCUAAACCUAAACAACACCGUUUUAGCCCACCACCACACCACACCACCACUACUUCUUCAUUCACAAACACUAGACCUAAUACCCUUACCCUACCCCACCAUCAGAUCAAAUACCCAUAAAACGUCUCUCAUCUUCCCAAAUGCAAGAACGACGUGCCCUAGGUCUAUGCUACAAUUGUGAUGAAAAGUUCUUUCCUGGCCAUAAGUGUACUACAUCUCGUUUUUUACUUCUCUUGGAUGAUCCUGAUACCUUAAAUGAACCCACCGAGCAAUUCGUCUCACCCUCCGAAUACACUACUCCCCUCCAUUUUCACAUCUCCCCACAAGCCAUCUCAGGUACCAUUUCCCCAAAAACCCUCAAAUUCAUAAGUUUAAACCGCAAUCUUCCAGUCACCGUUCUUAUUGAUUCAGGUAGCUCGCACAACAUCCUUCAACCACGUAUCGCCUGCCAUUUACACCUAACCAUAUCUCCUAGCCCACCACUAUCUGUUAUGGUUGGUAAUUGGGCUUUCAUCUAGUGUCAAGGACUUUGCCCAUAAGUGGAUAUCUCACUCAACACUCCACCUUUACUAUCCUUUUUUACCUUCUUCCCAUUGAAGGUGUGGAUGUUGUCCUUGACAUAGAUUGGUUAAGUACACUGAGAUCCAUCCAUGAAGAUUUCGCAAUCCCCAGCAUAGCUUUCACACACAACAAUCAACAAAUUACCCUCCAAGCCUCCACCUCACCCACCCCAACAACUACCACUUACCACCAAUUUUGUCACUAUAUAUCUAAUAACUCUAUUGCAUCCCUUCACCUCUUAUCGGUGGAAAACCAGCCCAGCUCAACCACAUACACAACCAUUGCUCACCCCUCCUCUUCGUUAGACAAUCUACCCUCACCCAUUCAAUCCCUCCUUCAGAAAUACCACACUAUCUUUCAAAAACCUCACGGGUGACCACCAUAUCCCGUUGUUACCUAAAACCUCACCCAUCAAGCUAAAACCCUAUCGCUACUCACACCACCAUAAGGAAGUAAUCACUGUUCUCAUAUAUGAAUGUUGCAAGAGGGUAUUAUCCAACCCAGUACAAGCCCUUUUUCUUCCCCGUGCUGCUAAUAAAAAAAAUGGUACAUGACGUUUCUGUGUUGACUAUAGAGCCCUAAAUGCGGCCACCAUUCGUGACCAUUUCCCAUUCCUACCAUUGAUGAAUGGCUAGAUGAGUUAGCCUAAGCUACUGUUUUUACUAAAAUAGAUUUACACUCUGGUUAUCACCAAAUACUUCUUGUUCCAGAAGACACUCACAAAACAGCUUUCUGCACUAUUGGGUUAACUAACGCCCCUUCUACUUUUCAGGCAGCAACAAAUGAUCUUCUCAAACCAUACCUACAAUGAUUUGUCUUAGUUUUUUUUUUAUGACAUUUUAAUUUAUAGUUCAAGCUUACAGGACCAUAUGAUUCAUCUCUAAAUUAUAUUGGAAGUGCUACACACUCAAAAUAAAAAUGUCAAGCUUUCCAAAUGCAGUUCCGCAACCGCAGAAGUAAGUUACCUAGGUCACGUAAUAUCAGCUCACAGCUCAAUGGGUCCAACCAAACCCAUAAAAGAUCAGCGCCAUACACAAUUGGCCUCAGCCACAGUCACUCACGACAUUACAGGAUUUCCUCGACCUCACCAGAUUUUAUAGAAAAUUCAUAAAGCACUACGCCACACUUGCCGCUCCUCUCACCGACUUAUUACAAAACCACAAAUUUAGAUGGACGGAGCUUGCGCAACAAGCAUUUGAAAAAUUGAAAUUAAACAUGACACAAAUGCCUACUCUACACCUCCUUGACUUCAAGCUUCCAUUUGUGGUAGAAACUGAUGCCUCUGCAGUGGCCGUUGGAGACCAUCCUAUUGCCUUCUUCAGCAAAAAGAUGAAACCCCAAGCUCCAAGCUUCUUCCGUUUAUGUCCGUGAGAUGUAUGCCAUCACAGAGUCAGUAAAAAAAUGGCGUCAGUAUCUCAUAGGACAACAUUUCACAAUAUCAAAGAUCAGAAAAGUCUCAACACCCUUCUUGCCCAAACCAUACAAACCCCAAAACAACAAAAAUGGACAGCUAAAUUACAGGGAUAUGAUUUCCAAAUAAUUUACCGACCUGGAUGGGAAAAUGCGGCGCCUGAUGCUCUUUAAAGAAUGGAUCAGGAACCCACACUCACCAUGCUGGCAGUUUCGUUCCCAAUGCCUCAGUUGAUUCAAGAACUCCAAAAAAUUUUGACACCGCAGAAGGCCAGGAGGUGAUCCAGGCAUGGGAAACCAAGAGCAACCAAGUCUUUUUUCCAUAGGUCAUGGGUUACUCUUUUUCCGCCUCCAAAAUUUUUGUGCCAGCAACAAAGGACUUUCGUCAGCGCAUCAUGAAUAAGUUUCAUGCUUCUCCUUAUGGCGGCCACUCCAGUUUUAAACUGACCCUCAAGCGCAUAGCCGCUUCCUUUUACUGCCCAAAAUGGACAUGAGACGUCCAUAGCUUCGUCCAACAAUGCUCUGUGUGUCAAAAAAGCAAAUACAUGCCAACAAAAAUUCAAGGUUUAUUUCAACCAUUACCAAUUCCAGAACAAGUACGGGAAGAUAUAUCAAUGGAUUUUAUUACUCACCUUCCAAGUUCAGCUGGCCACUCGGUCAUUUGGUCAUCUACGACAGAUUAACAAAAUAUGCCCACUUCCUAACUCUUCCUACGCACUUCACAACCCAACAGCUAGCCAAAUGUAUUUCAGUGGAAAUAUGCCGACUCCAUGGUCUACCAAAAACCAUCGUCUCCGACCGCGACCCCUUGUUCGUCAGUAUCUUCUGGCAACACCUAUUCAAGGCACAAGGAACCACGUUAAAAUUCAGCUCGUCAUACCACCCACAAACUGACGGCCAAACGGAAGUGUUGAACAAAGGGUUAAAAGUGUACCUUAGGUGCUUUGUGUGGAAUCAACCGAACAAAUGGUAUCAAUUUCUUCACUCGGCAAAGUUAUGGCACAACACCACCUACCAUUCUGCUAUAGGAAGCUCACCUUUCCAUGCUUUGUACGAUCGACAACCACCCAUUGUUGUCGACUUCGUGCGCACCCCACAAGACGGUGCAACCAUUCCGGGGUCAUUAUCCGAACACACCGUCGUCCUCUAGGAGCUUUGGGAGCACUUGCGUCGUAGAAGGCAACGAAUGUGUGACUAAGCGUACCAACACCGCACAGAUUGGUGUUUCGCACGAGGAGAUUGGGUGUUGGUUCGCCUCCAACCCUACAGGCAACGAACCUUGGAACGACAUACACACCAAAAGUUGGGACCACGCUUCUCAAGCCCAUACAAGGUAUUACACCGCAUCAGAGCCGUCGCGUACGAGCUACAACUGCCAGCGACCGCCUGUGUCCACCCUGUUUUUCAUGUGUUGCUGCUGCGGAUUUUCAAAGGGACUUCUGAAGAAGCUCCUUUAGUUUCUACCAAGUCUGCAAACAACUGCCCAAGAACACUUAACUCACAUUCAAAAACCAAUCAGAAACUUCUGAACCCACCGCCCUAAGAGUCCAAUAACAGCGAGACAAGUGUCGUGGAACCCCAGAACCUCGAGCCCAUCACGCACGUGCCUACCCCACCUUUUAACCCCACACUUACUAACUAUCUGCACACGCAUCCUGGCAUAACCAUUAACGGCACGCCACAUGUAAUGGAACGUGUAGUAGCCACAGCGUCCCCAGACUUUGAGCCCAACGCCCAUAAUGCAUCCCACGCACCCAAGCACCCUAACCCUAAUGCUCCAGCGACACAUACCUUAGCAAACCCUAAUGCGCCAAUGUCACAUCUUAGCCAACCCGGUACCCCAGCCCAAAUACAAUGUGUCCAACCCAACAAGUCUACACAAUGUUAGUUCGCACCCCUUCUAAAUAUCUACACACCAACCAAUGCUCCAGACACGUCUCAACUGGACCACAUCCAACCCAACACCUCCCCACCGGCCCAACAAACUCCAAGACUGCACUUUGAGGACAAAGUGCUUUCUGAGCCGGACAAUAAUGUUAGAAUGAGUAAUUACACAAGCACAAGGCCCAAAAAACAACCCAAAUGGAUGAAAGAUUUUAUAUUGGAUUAAGC
rnacentral:lncRNA from 1 species